GGUCUGGAAAGUCCGACGGUACAGGGUGAUAGUCCCGUACACCAAAAUGCACAGGCUGUGAACUCGAAGAGUAGGGCGGGACACGUGGUAUCCUGUCUGAUUAUGGGGGGACCAUCCUCCAAGGCUAAAUACUCCUGACUGACCGAUAGUGAACCAGUACCGUGAGGGAAAGGCGAAAAGAACCCCGGCGAGGGGAGUGAAAAAGAACCAGAAACCGUGUACGUACAAGCAGUGGGAGCACCUUCGGGUGUGACUGCGUACCUUUUGUAUAAUGGGUCAGCGACUUAUAUUCUGUAGCAAGGUUAACCGUAUUGGGG
rnacentral:rRNA from 1 species